rnacentral:rRNA from 1 species
CAGUCGAACGAUGAUCCCCAGCUUGCUGGGGGGAUUAGUGGCGAACGGGUGAGUAACACGUGAGUAACCUGCCCUUGACUCUGGGAUAAGCCUGGGAAACUGGGUCUAAUACUGGAUACGACUCUUCACCGCAUGGUGGGGGGUGGAAAGCUUUUGUGGUUUUGGAUGGACUCGCGGCCUAUCAGCUUGUUGGUGGGGUAAUGGCCUACCAAGGCGACGACGGGUAGCCGGCCUGAGAGGGUGGACGGCCACACUGGGACUGAGACACGGCCCAGACUCCUACGGGAGGCAGCAGUGGGGAAUAUUGCACAAUGGGCGCAAGCCUGAUGCAGCGACGCCGCGUGAGGGAUGAAGGCCUUCGGGUUGUAAACCUCUUUCAGUAGGGAAGAAGCGAAAGUGACGGUACCUGCAGAAGAAGCGCCGGCUAACUACGUGCCAGCAGCCGCGGUAAUACGUAGGGCGCAAGCGUUAUCCGGAAUUAUUGGGCGUAAAGAGCUCGUAGGCGGUUUGUCGCGUCUGCCGUGAAAGUCCGGGGCUUAACUCCGGAUCUGCGGUGGGUACGGGCAGACUUGAGUGAUGUAGGGGAGACUGGAAUUCCUGGUGUAGCGGUGAAAUGCGCAGAUAUCAGGAGGAACACCGAUGGCGAAGGCAGGUCUCUGGGCAUUAACUGACGCUGAGGAGCGAAAGCAUGGGGAGCGAACAGGAUUAGAUA